GGCUUUUUGAAAAUAAUUUAAGGUUGUGCCUGCUCAAUGACUGGAUUAAAUAGCUGCAGUAUCUUGACUGUACUAAGGUAGCAUAAUCAUUAGUUUCUUAAUUGGGGACUGGAAUGAAAGGUUUGAUGAGAAAAUAACUGUCUCUUUUAUAAAUAUAGAAGUUUAUUUUUGAGUAAAAAAGCUCAAAUUUUUUUAAAAGACGAGAAGACCCUAUAGAGUUUUAUAAUUAAUUAAUUUUUUUUAAUGGAGAAUAAAAAUUUAUUUAAAUUAAAAGGAUUAUUUGAUUGGGGUGAUUAAAAAAUUUAAUAAACUUUUUUUUACUGAAACUUUAGUUUAAGAUUUACUUGAUCCGUUUUUAACGAUUAAAAGAAUAAAUUACCUUAGGGAUAACAGCGUAAUCUUUUUUUAGAGUUCUAAUCGAUAAAAAGGAUUGCGA
rnacentral:rRNA from 1 species